rnacentral:snRNA from 1 species
GGAUAUGAAGGUAAUCUGGCUGCGGCACCUGUUACCCCUGUGAUCACCAGAGUUGAUUCAGCUGAUCUGGCUGGCUAGACCAAUGUCCCCUUCCUCCCUCACUGCUCCAUGUGUAUCCCUCUUGAAGCUGUGUGCUCAAUUAAAGAGGAUAGCCUUCUCCUAAGAGAGACAGACUGGACCAGUCUUUGGUCUUAAGGUAUAUGAGUAGCUGCACUCUUCUGUUAGAACCUCCACACAAGCUCUCAAAAUUCAUGUCCCAAGUCAUAAUAAAGUAAUUUCCAUAUUCCCCAUGUGGCUAAAAGACAUGAAUUAUGGUACAUGAAGUAUUAGCUCCUUUCUUU